ACCUCCUGGUAUUCACGCCGUGAUACAAUCUACUUUCACACUAAAUCAGGGAUGAACCCUGUGACUAACAGAACACUGCAGGAGGAAUGAUGUGUGACUUCAGAUGCAAGGUCAUAGAGGACAAGGACACUGCUACCCUCUUGGAUUUCUCACUCUGUGGAAAGCCAGCAACAUUCGUGAGACAAGCAGUGCUGUGGUGAGGCCCAUGUCAAGAAGGCCUGAGGUCAAGAAGGCCUGAGCUACAGCCAAUUUGUCAGUCAUUUGAAGGAAGGUUUCUCAAUGAAUCAGCAGGUUUUUUUCUGCCUUCACCAAUCAUCAUUUCUCAUUAUACACAGAGAUCCUCAAAAUGAGAACCAGAUACACUCAGCCUGUAGGAUCAUUUAGUAACUGGGGGAAGGAGGAAAAGUAUAUCUUGCUGGGCCUGGUGGCUCAUGCUGUAAUCUCAGCACUUUGGGAUACUGAAGCAGGAGGAUUUCUUGAGUUCUGGAGUUCAAGACCAGCCUGGGCAACAUAGCAAGACCUCCUCUCUACAAAAACUUAAAAAUUAGCUUAUUGCGGUGACACAUACCUGCAGUCCCACCUACUCAAGAGACUGAGGCAGGAGGAUCACUUGAGCUCAGGAGUUCAAGACUGCAGUGAGCCAUGAUUGUCCCACUGAACUCCUGCCUGUGUGAUAGAGGAAUACCCUAUUUCAAAGGUUCAAGAAAAGAAAAAUAUAUCUUUCUCCAUUCCUUUUAAUAUGUGUCUUUAUAAAUAACAUGGAUUUCUUGUAAAUAACAUAGAGUUGAUACCUGUAUUUUAUUCAUUCUGUCAGUCUUUGUCUUUUAAUUGGUAUAUUCAGACUACUUAUGUUUAAAGUAAUUUUUGAUAGAGUUGAAUUGCUCUCUCUCAUAUAUUAAUUGUUUCCUGUUUGUUGCCCUUGUAAUUGUUUCCCCUUUUUGUCCUCCCCUCUCAAUAUGGUUUGGCUCUGUGCCCCCAUCCAAAUCUCACCUGGAACUGUAAUCCCCAUGAUCCCCACCUGUUGAGGGAGGGACUUAGUGGGAGGUGAUUGUGUCAUGGGAGGUGGUUUCCCACAUGCUGUUCUCGUGAUAGUGAGUGAGUUCUCAAGAGAUCUUAUGGUUUUAUAAGAGGCUCUUCCCCUUUCUCUUCCUCUCGCCUGCUGCCAUGUAUGACAUGCCUUUGCUUCUCCUUUACUCUCUGCCAUGAUUGUAAGUUUCCUGAGGCCUCCCCAGCCAUGCAGAACCAUGAGUCAAUUAAACCUCUUUCCUUUAUAAAUUGACCAGCCUCAGGUAAUAUCUUUAGAGCAGUGGGAAAAUAGACUAAUACACCUCUUUUGCUACCUUUUCUAGUUUUAAUUCAGCAUUUUAUAUAAUUCUAUUUUCUCUCCUCUCUGUGAGUAUCAAUUAUACUUUAAAACAUAUUUUUAGAAAUUACCCUAGAGUUUGCAGUACACAUUUACCACUAAGUCCACUUUUGAAUAACAUGAUACCAUCUCACGGGUAGUGCAGUUACUG
rnacentral:lncRNA from 13 species